AUAAAAUCAACAGAUUUCGUUCGAGUGGUCGGCACAAGACGUUCGACAUCGCGCAGAAUGAUAAAUGAAAAGUAUAGCCCACUGUGUCCAACGCCGUUCAGAUCUUUGCUUCUUGUGUGAUAAAGCGAAGAAUCUCUUUACUGGUUCACUAGAAGAAAACCCGCCAUGGAAUAAUAAAUGCGUCCCUUUUUACGUUACACCUGAACCCACCUAAACGGCAACAUCUAAACAGCCUUACAGUCCAAACCAGAAGUAACAUAUUUUUUUAAUUUUUUAUUUUUUUUUACGUUUUUCCAAUCUUCUGAAGGUCUUCGUUACAUCUGGUCUUCUUUGGGGGAAGUAAUAAGACGACAGAUGAGACAUGAAUCACGUACUAUCCCAACAAUGGACUUAAAGAGUUUUAGAAAACACAAUCGCGGCUAACUGCGCAAUUCGUACAAGUGAAAGCUUGAGCGAGACGCAAAUCAUGGAUUUACACAAGUGGACGUACAAUCAAGAGGAAGAAACUUUUUCGUCUUCGAACCAACUUGGAUUUUAUGCUUUUUAUAUACAUUUUUGUUUUGAAGGAGCAAUGCGAUGCACAUUGUGACUGGGCGUGAGGCAGCUACUGGCCAGUCAGGAGGGCACGGGCAGCCUGCCACUGAAGCUGAGGAUCAGAGAAUGUCCAUCUUUAUAAAGCCUAUAUUUACUCCCCUGACACUGCAAGAAUUUCUGCUAAAUAUAAACGUGGUCCAACCCACCAUCAUGGCCACACUACGUCCACUGGCACUCUGGACCUUCGAGCGAUGUGACAGAGAGGGAAUGUCUUUACAAGAGUAGCCAUUAUGGACUGUAACUUUAUUACAUUAGAAUGCAUUCAUAAGUGUGUUAACUGAGGUGGGCUUUGCUAUAGGUGGUAGCUAAAGUAUUACUUACUGUAAGUGCCAAAAUCAAAAUGAAUACAUUAGACCUCAAGCAAGUUGUGCUUCAUGGUCAUUUGCUUAAACUCAUAAAGGAAACUGCAUGAUAAUGCCCAGAAUUUGCUUACACCCAGUGCAUAAAGACAAUAUCCUGCCAACUCGCUUCCACUGGUGCAAAUUAUGGUUUACCUAGAGGCUCAUCAAAUUUGAGUGACCAUUGUUGUUUUUUUCUGUGGCAAUAUGAAAAUAUGGAUAGUCAUAAAUAAACUAAAGCAAGCGUCCCACACAGGGAUUAAAGGAUUAGUGUGUGCUGGA